UGUCAAGUUAGGCCAGAAAUAUUUGAGGUCAUUAGUACGUUUGCCCUUGUUUGUUUUUUCCACCAAUCCACUUCUCUCGGGUACAAGUAGUGCAUUCCUUUACCAGCGCGUUGGCAUGGCGGGCUUCACCCGCCUCGGUUGGAACGGGUUCCUCUGCGUCACCGAGGCCCAUUUGGGUUAAUGCAACCAGGAGGAGAGUGCCUGUCGCCUCUGCGUCAUUCAAGCGCAGGAGCUGGGAAGUGUGCCAAGGCCCGUGGGUUGGCACAGGUGAAGGCCAGGGUUAUGGCACCUGUUCAACCCACUCAACCAUGCACGCCACCUGUGCCAGGCCAUGCCACAGCCUGAGAAAUGAACUGUGCUCCUGUGUGUGUGUCUGUGUGUCAUGACACAAGACCUGCAUGGCCAGAGCUCUAGGUAUCUCAGAGUUUACAAAGGCAGAGACUGAUGCAGACAUUCCACAGAGAAUGGGCAUGUGUGAGUGUAAGGUCUUCUGCUCUAUAACUCUCAGAGUGUGUGUGUGAGUGAGUGUAAGGUCUUCUGCUCUAUAACUCUCAGAGUGUGUGUGUGAGUGAGUGUAAGGUCUUCUGCUCUAUAACUCUCAGAGUGUGUGUGUGUGUGAGUGUUUGUGUGUGUGUGUGUGUGUGUGUGUGUGAGAGUGUAAGGUCUUCUGCUCUAUGACUCUCAGAGUGUGUGUGUGUGUGUGUGUGUGUGUGAGUGAGUGUAAGGUCUCCUGCUCUAUGACUCUCAGAGUGUGUGAGUGAGUAAUUCUACUUAAUGACUGUCAGAAUAUGUGUUCCUGUGUGUGUGCAACUGUGCUCGUCACACCAGUGUGUGUGUGUGUGUGUGUGUGUGUGCAUACGUCACCUCAGUGUGUGUGUGUGUGUGUGUGCACACGUCACCUCAGUGUGUGUGUG
ensembl:lncRNA